CACCAGUUAAGGUCGCAAGUUCCUUGAAAGACACAACAAGAACAGUUGCAAUAGUUGCCCAGUCUCGGUGGUCCAAGGACGCUCUGUCCAUGGUACUGAAAUCAGUCUGAUUACUAGGCAAUGGAAUAGAGGCAGUUGCGUAUCCUGAAAAGUGUCCGUGAAUGUUAACACGCUUAAUAGUUGUACAGCGAUGUGUAGGCUAAUCUACACGUUGCAAGAUGAAUACGACUCGUAGUUCCAACCACAGUCCAAUGAGCCUAUGACAAGGCAAAACUCUGGACUAAAACUUAGCCUAUAUCAGAAAAGAGCAUAAUGGGUGGGGAGAGAGUCCUAAUCUGACCUUUAUUCUAAGCUACUGACCCGAACAAUUUAAUCACUCUGCAAUUCAACUAAUCUACAGAUCUCAGGCUAGCCUGACCUAAUACCAUUGACAAUGCCACGUGACAUGCCUCUGUUGGUUUUGUACAAAUUCUCUGUUAUCAUUCUGAAAGUAUUUCCAAGAAACCUUUCCUUCGUAGACUACACCCUCCUGCAAGAACCCAUAUGAACCUAGAAACUAAUUUAGGCCUAGGCUACUGUCGGCCCAAUUUCUCUGUUUUGCAUAGGCUAUAACAUUUCAAGAAUUGCUAAUUGGUUUUCCAUUUUCAGACAAAUUCCAAAAUAAAUGGUAGCAUGUUGCCCAAGGUUAAUGAAGAGACCAUAUUUAUUUGAUGUUUGUUGGCAAAUAAACUCUACGUAUCUAAUCUAGGUCAUAUUCGUGAGGCACAGCCCUUGAUCGGAAUAAAAGGAAACCGUAUUUGGGAAGACAUCAUUUCCCAUCGUGCACCACGUUCACCCAGCAGCCAAUCGUGGGUACUAUAAAAUGGAAAGGGCACUCCUUCUGAGAGUUCUUUUCGUACGAGCUCACCUCGAGUUGGUUCACGAGAUGCUGCAUACAAUGGAUAUGCUCCUGGGCGAGAUCCACGAUUACCAGACCUGUGGGAUGUCCCCUGAUGGAUGACCAGCUAUCCAGUCUUAAGGAUGAAUAUCUACUGAAAACUCCGUUGCCAUGGCCCUGGCAUACGUAACGAGGCGAGGAACUUGCCAUGAGUGUUAGCCACUCGCCAAACUGGAGCAUGUUCUGAAUACAAGACCUGUGGGAUGUCCCCUGAUGGAUGACAACUAUCCAGUCUUAAGGAUGAAUAUCUACUGAGAACUCCGUUGCUAUUUCCCUGGCAUACGUAAUGAGGCGAGUAACUUGCCACAAGGGUGUCUGACUCUCGCCAAAUUGGAGCACGUUUUGAAUACAAGGAUUGUUGGUGCAUAGGAUGUUCCUAUGGCUGUCUUGGAAUGUGCAGUAUAGCAGGCCUCAAGGUAUGGGACCUUUGGUGAUUUCCCUUUCGAGGCCGUGGGUUCAUUUCAAGAAGUUACUGAAGCCACACCCCAACUAAAAUAAAUAUAUUUGGACUUUAAAUGGUUGUCCUGACUCUUAACUUGACAGGGAUGCAUUUCUGCAUCAACCCUUAUCAACUGUUAAUUCGGUUUUUGAUUCCUCUAGUUCACUUGUUUAGAUGCUCUAUCAAAUAUAAGGGUGUACAGAUUUGAUGCAGGGAAUACAGAAAACCCUUUGUACUCUCCAUAAUGGGUGACUGAACAGUGACUCAUGUGAAAUUGAAAGGAAGAGACAACACCAGUAAGUAAGUUCAACACCUGGGCAUUUAUUCUAUUUCCAUACAACCAGAUGCCACUUGUGGUUUCCAUACUAAACUAGUCAAUCAUUGCAUGGACAAGGAUGGUGGGCUUCUCUGGAUCCAACCUUGACUUGGACCCUAAUGUACUGUCAGUGGAGCAAUGCCAAACCCCAGCAUUAGCCAACUAAUACUGUUACUGAUAAAUGCAUCUGUUCAGAAAGUACAGGAUUGUGUUCAACACUUAUAACGGGAGAUUUGGCUAAAACUGCAAUCUAGUUUAUUUAUCAUAGUGACCCUGGAUCUCAAAUGAUACAGAUACCGAGCUGUAAACUUGAACAGAUGAAAAGCAUGAAGGGACACUCAGACCACCUGUUGUCCACCCUUCUAUGCUAUAGAAGUGGAACAUACACUUAGCAUACUGAUGUUUCCAGAGUCGACCACAACUGCAACACUUCCAAGAAGCCUCCAUAAUCUUUCUACAAACGCGAUCUAUUGUGCUCAGACAUCGAUAUGGUGGCUGUGUUCUUGGAAGCUAGCAUACAUGCAAGCUUCACUAUCAUAACCACGGUAUAACCCAGCAAACGGGACGUUAACAGGACAUUCGUGAUGUCCCUGAUUGUGUCCCGCCACAACGUUCUCUACCAG
ensembl:lncRNA